UGGGGAAUUUUGGACAAUGGGCGAAAGCCUGAUCCAGCAAUGCCGCGUGCAGGAUGAAGGCCCUCGGGUUGUAAACUGCUUUUGUACGGAACGAAAAGCCUGGGGCUAAUAUCCCCGGGUCAUGACGGUACCGUAAGAAUAAGCACCGGCUAACUACGUG
rnacentral:rRNA from 1 species